rnacentral:snoRNA from 1 species
UGGAUCAUUGAUGACUACUGGUGGCAUAUGAGUCCUAUAUGAUGACUACAUGUUGACCUCUGAGGUCCAA